CUUCAGAUCAAUGUUUUUGAGUACAAUAGUGAUCCAUCCGUCCAUCGUCAACCGCUUAUCCUGCGUACAGGGUCGCCAGCUCAUUCUGCGCUACAGAGCUGAUUCAUGGCCCUGCGGGCUGUUUGACUGGUGACCCACUCCUCCUCUACCUCCUCACCCCCGCCCUCCUCCUCCUCGGCUGAUUAUUGAA